rnacentral:lncRNA from 1 species
AUUUCAAAUUCAUGCUCCACUUCUUAUAAAAGGAAUCCAGCAGCUUAAGGGUAGAAGAAAGAUAACAGGAGUCUGUCCCUUCGGCCAAAGAGUUUCUUUUCAAAGUUCGUGGUGGCAGCCUGAUGUCAGCUGGGGAAGAAGCUCCAUUCUUUUUCUGGCAGAACUGACUUCUUUGCGGGAGAGCUGUGGCAGCCCCUUUGCUUAUUCCCAGCAUGGAAAGACCAC